AGGGUGGUAUUACACCAUCCCGUCAUGCUGUGCCCUCUCCCUGAAUCGACAGCCAGAUGGGCUCCAUAUUACCUGUGUUGGAAGGAAGAUGAACCACAGAUACUCUUCUGAACAGUAAACUGAUCCCUGAGAGCAAUCAGGUUCAGCAGAUUCCAUCCCAGCUGAGAGGAGAAGUCAGGGUACAUGGACACCUGAGCUGUGAAACCAGCAUAAAAUGUCCUGAAGAGUGGACACACGUCACACGAGAAGCAUUUUCGAUCCCUCUGGUAGAGGGGGAGUGCUUAAUUACCAUGUGCCACUGCUGUUAACCUCUGCAAAUAAGUCUAAUUAUCACAGAUUAAUGAACAGAGCUUAGGCACAUCUAAAGGGGCUUUGCUGAGGGGUUUUCAUUUCUGCAUUUCA
rnacentral:lncRNA from 1 species